GUUUUCCCUUGCAUAAAACAUUUUAUGGCUGAUUUUUUUCCUCACCUAUGCACAAAAACAUAAGCGAAAUAAGGAGCUCACUUGUUCAGACAGUCUUAAAUGUGCAGUGCAGAUCAGCUCUGAGCUCUGCUCCCAAGUUUGCUUAAAAAAUGUGCAGAUUUUUCGGUGACCUCUUUAGCGGGACAAAGGAGGCUGCAGAUCGAUUCGUUACACCUUUUUAGUGAGGCUUGUGGUGAAGGGGAGGGGCUCUGAAUCCACAAGAGGCUCCAUUAAUAGCCUACACUCCAUCCUAACUAUUAUCCACCAUAAAGUGUUUAUAAAGGGCACACAAGUAGGCUAAUGUGAUCUCAAAUGAGACAGCAUGAUUUAUCCGGUUACUGCAGGAGAGAAUGGUGAAGAAGGGAGAAGAAGAGGAAAAGUUUGUUUUUAUUACUGAGUUAUAGAAUCAGUAAAUAACUUGGAGGAAGAGCGCAUCCAGUCUGAAGUGAGCCAGCUCUCAUGACAUCCGUCUGCGGCCAGUUACGGGACUUAAGGACAGUAUUCAGCCAGCUCCAGCGGCUCCGAUCGGAGGUUUGGACCAAAUCAUUUACAAGAAGCUGGAUUACAAACUCUCUGCAAACCGCCCUGGUUUAACAGACUCAGGUCUGACGUGACUAUCUGCAAGGAGCAGCUGUUUAUGAGAUCGACUGGAUCGUACUGCGAAGGAGCUCUGCAGGUUGUCGAAUGAGACAUAAUGGAGAAUAUGACUGAGGUCACGCUAAGAAUAGCCCAUUGCCUGACCUCAGCUUCUCCAGCGAAGUCUGCAGCAUUAUCGGCUGAAAUAUCCACUGCUACAUGCUAACAACAAGAGACGUCUCUACAGAGGCAGCAGCGCACAGGACGACUGGCUUAGGGCAAGACAUCUGGAUCACGGCGGCUGUUGUCACCUACAAGCCACUUGCAUUCAUCCUGUAGAAGAGUACAGCUCUUUGUGUUUGCGAUAAAAAUGCAGCGUAUGUGAGUUAAUAAAUAUGCUGAGUAUGGAAACUGUU